AAUAGAUACCCCGGUAGUCCACGCCGUAAACGAUGAGUGCUAAGUGUUAGAGGGUUUCCGCCCUUUAGUGCUGCAGCUAACGCAUUAAGCACUCCGCCUGGGGAGUACGGCCGCAAGGCUGAAACUCAAAGGAAUUGACGGGGGCCCGCACAAGCGGUGGAGCAUGUGGUUUAAUUCGAAGCAACGCGAAGAACCUUACCAGGUCUUGACAUCAUCUGCCAACCCUAGAGAUAGGGCGUUCCCCUUCGGGGGACAGAGUGACAGGUGGUGCAUGGUUGUCGUCAGCUCGUGUCGUGAGAUGUUGGGUUAAGUCCCGCAACGAGCGCAACCCUUGAUCUUAGUUGCCAGCAUUCAGUUGGGCACUCUAAGGUGACUGCCGGUGACAAACCGGAGGAAGGUGGGGAUGACGUCAAAUCAUCAUGCCCCUUAUGACCUGGGCUACACACGUGCUACAAUGGAUGGUACAAAGAGCUGCGAACCCGCGAGGGUAAGCGAAUCUCAUAAAGCCAUUCUCAGUUCGGAUUGUAGG
rnacentral:rRNA from 1 species